rnacentral:rRNA from 1 species
AUAGCGGAGGAAAAGAAACCAACAGGGAUUGCCCUAGUAACGGCGAGUGAAGCGGCAACAGCUCAAAUUUGAAAUCUGGCCUCGGCCCGAGUUGUAAUUUGCAGAGGAAGCUUUAGGCGCGGCACCUUCUGAGUCCCCUGGAACGGGGCGCCAUAGAGGGUGAGAGCCCCGUAUAGUUGGAUGCCUAGCCUGUGUAAAGCUCCUUCGACGAGUCGAGUAGUUUGGGAAUGCUGCUCAAAAUGGGAGGUAAAUUUCUUCUAAAGCUAAAUACCGGCCAGAGACCGAUAGCGCACAAGUAGAGUGAUCGAAAGAUGAAAAGCACUUUGAAAAGAGGGUUAAAUAGCACGUGAAAUUGUUGAAAGGGAAGCGCUUGUGACCAGACUUGCGCCGGGCGGAUCAUCCGGUGUUCUCACCGGUGCACUCCGCCCGGCUCAGGCCAGCAUCGGUUCUCGCGGGGGGAUAAAGGCCCUGGGAACGUAGCUCCUCCGGGAGUGUUAUAGCCCGGGGCGCAAUGCCCUCGCGGGGACCGAGGUUCGCGCAUCUGCAA